UACGUAGGCAGCAAGCGUUGUUCGGAGUUACUGGGCGUAAAGGGAGCGUAGGCGGGUCGUCAAGUUGGGGGUGAAAGCCCAGGGCUCAACCUUGGAAUUGCCUUCAAAACUGACGAUCUAGAGUAUGGAAGAGGUAAGUGGAACUCCGAGUGUAGAGGUGAAAUUCGUAGAUAUUCGGAAGAACACCAGUGGCGAAGGCGACUUACUGGUCCAUGACUGACGCUGAGGCUCGAAAGCGUGGGGAGCAAACAGG
rnacentral:rRNA from 1 species